UGUCAAGCUGUCAGGGUCUUGCUGACUGCCGAAAUCCUCCUCAUUUUGCUCCGAAAAACACUGGCUGUUGCCGGAGAGUUUUGGAGCUUCUCGUCCAGCUGAGAGAGAUUGUGACAGUGAGAGAGGAACAGAAGCAGGAAGUUGGGGGCUGGCUUUUGACACACUUGCUUCCUUUGUGACGUCAAACAUGCUGAGAGUCUGCGUGCUGUCUCUUCCGAGCUGUCUGCUAGAAGAUCUCCUGAAGAGCUCCAAAAGUGAUGCUGCAGAAGAUCAGUCUGCCAAAGCGGAAACCACCAAGAGCCAAAGCACAGUCACCAAAACCUAUGGACUGAUUAUUAUGGUUAUUAAUCCGUUCCUUGAGUAUGAUCUUGUGCUGAAUCAGAGUGCGUACCGAGAGCACCUCCGCUGGUAGUAAAUAUUCCUGGCCUCAGUGGCGCACGCCUGUAAUCCUGUAAUCCCAUUAAAGUGCUUCAGGGGAGUUAGUGGCACAAAGCAGACUGCUCACCCUAAGAAAAUGCCUUAAAAUAAGCCAAGUCCGUCUGCUAGGCCUCUGUUCUCUCUGCUUCUCCAUGGGGGGUUCAGCGUUCGGAGAAGGCAAGGUUGUAAGUCCCAGGUUGACUCGGAUGCAGCAGCACAGCUUAAAACUACUCUUUGUUUGCCGCUGUUUGAAGAAUCCCAUGAAUUUCUACUAAAGACAGUGUGGUCUCAUUUCCUUAGAGCACUCCCCAACACUAAUACUGCACAGAGAGCAGGUCAGAGCUGGACAUGCAGCUCAUUAAACCGGCGGCUCCUCUCAUUCUUUAUCACGCUUCACUUCCAGACAUCAAUCCCCAUGCACCCACACGGAAUGGCCAUUACGGGAUAACCAACGACACUUAUUUCUGUGCAACCAAAUGUUUUUAUUAAAAAAAGGAAAGCAUGCACCAAACUGCCUGAUGAUUACAUAACAUUAUUAAAACUUUAAAAAACAUUAUUCCACAUUGAAGAAAGUGAUGCAGAAUUCACACGAUUCAAAUGUAUAUAUAAUUUCCUCCUUAAUAACACAGUCAAUGCAAAAGUUUAGCCACUCUAGUCAAAAUCAUGCUUGUUGCUUCUUUAAGUAUAAAUAAGUUAACUCAUCCUCUACAAAGCACUUCUACACACUGUAAUACACUAUUACUGUUUAUUUGCUGAAUUUAACAUAGGGGAGAAAAAACAAUGUGGCCUGUGCAAAAGUUAUGGCACAGUUUAUAUUCUGUGUUUUUCAA